CCAACGGUAUCAAAUAUAGAUCUCGUUUGGAUUCUACGAUUGGAUUUGAAUGGACAAACAUGUAAAUUCAGUCCUCUAAACCAAAUGAUGCCAUAUAGUAUUAUGAUCAAAGAGAUGGACAUCACCGUAAUGCUCCCUUCCCUUAAAGUUAUCAAAUGAGUAAUAAAUUUAUGGCAUAAAAUCUCACCAACAACAAUUAUAAUUUUUUUCUCUUGAUAAAUUUGGAACAACAUUAAUAUUGUUUAUUAUCUAAAAGAAUUUGGUUGUCUACAUUUUUUUUAAAACCUUUUACCCUUCUAACCUUCCCCGUACAAUUCAUGGGUUUGCCACUGUUCUUAUUGAAAUUAUUGUUUAUAUUAUAUAUACAUUUAUUCACCCAAUUAAGAUAACAUGAUAUAUACUACUUUUAGCGGAUGAUCAACGCCAAUUAACAAUCUUAUAAUAUAUGAUUUAGACGUGGGUCUCAUUAAUCUAACUUUUUAUUUUUAGUAUUUUCCAUAUAUAAAUAUAUUGUUGUAGCAGUCCUAUUAGAUUAGGAAUGUGAUUGUGUAAAUCCUAGUAGAUCUAGGAAUAUCUCUUAUAUUCCUAUUAGGAGUUGUAAUCCUAAAAGGGUAAGGAAUUAAACUUUCAUACUACUAUAAAUAAAGGCACAAUGGGGUGAAUAGAACACACCCACAAUUACACAUCUCUCUCUUCACUCUCUAUAUGCCACACCCUCUCUCUCCAUAUGGCCUCCAUAAUUGUUCAGUAAAUUAUGCCUACAACACGUUAUUAGUACGCUCUUGACGAUGCGCUAACAAGAGAGUUUGAUCUUCAAUUACGGGAGUAUUCCAUUUUAAUCAUUCUUUUUAUGAUUAAUUUAUUAUUUUAUUGAAUGAUCUACAUGCUAUUGAUUCAAUUUAAUUUUUCUUUGUUGAACGUGAUAUAACGCAUUGGAAAUGCAAUUCAAGUAUCUUCUACAAAUUCAAAGGCUUUUAUUGUUUUCUGCUAAUCAGGUACACUUAAAAUAAAGUAAGAUAUUUGAAACGACCUUGAAGCAUGAAAACAU
rnacentral:lncRNA from 1 species